rnacentral:misc_RNA from 1 species
ACGAGUUUUUUUUCGGUUUACCCCGAAAAACUCCCACCCUUGUGUAUUUUCGCUGAAAAGCAGCUUCGGCGGGCCGUCUUUUACUUUAGUGAUAGAGUAACUGACAUCGGCUCUGAGCGGAUUUGCGUCCGCCGAAGAACCAACUCUUUACAAUUUGAAGUCUGAUAAAACAAAGAAAAUAAAUCA